CCGUGCUAGAUGGGGAGUUAGCGGUGCCCUGUAGCCUGCAAUCCGCUAUAGCAGGAUUGAUACUGUUGCCAGGUCAUUGCCGAGUAAUUUGGCCGGAUCAAACGGUGUUGAAGUUUCAAUCUGUUGCAAUGAGUAGCUGGUGAACUCCGUCAGGCCCGGAAGGGAGCAGCGGUAAACUUUGCGAUUCAUGUGCCGGCAGACAUUUGAAACUGAGCCGUUUGCUUUG
rnacentral:SRP_RNA from 1 species